GAUGAACGCUGGCGGCGUGCCUAAUACAUGCAAGUCGAGCGAACAGACGAGGAGCUUGCUCCUCUGACGUUAGCGGCGGACGGGUGAGUAACACGUGGAUAACCUACCUAUAAGACUGGGAUAACUUCGGGAAACCGGAGCUAAUACCGGAUAAUAUAUUGAACCGCAUGGUUCAAUAGUGGAAGACGGUAUUGCUGUCACUUAUAGAUGGAUCCGCGCCGCAUUAGCUAGUUGGUAAGGUAACGGCUUACCAAGGCGACGAUGCGUAGCCGACCUGAGAGGGUGAUCGGCCACACUGGAACUGAGACACGGUCCAGACUCCUACGGGAGGCAGCAGUAGGGAAUCUUCCGCAAUGGGCGAAAGCCUGACGGAGCAACGCCGCGUGAGUGAUGAAGGUCUUCGGAUCGUAAAACUCUGUUAUUAGGGAAGAACAAAUGUGUAAGUAACUAUGCACGUCUUGACGGUACCUAAUCAGAAAGCCACGGCUAACUACGUG
rnacentral:rRNA from 1 species